UGCGUAGGUGGCGUGGUAAGUCGGGUGUGAAAUUUCGGAGCUUAACUCCGAAACUGCAUUCGAUACUGCCGUGCUUGAGGACUGGAGAGGAGACUGGAAUUUACGGUGUAGCAGUGAAAUGCGUAGAGAUCGUAAGGAAGACCAGUGGCGAAGGCGGGUCGUCUGGACAGUUCCUGACACUGAGGCACGAAGGCUAGGGGGAGUAAACG
rnacentral:rRNA from 1 species